GGCCUUCCUGCCAGCAGGGUAUAGGGCUCAGUGGGACAGGCCUGGGUCCAAGGCCCUUCUCCAUCCCUGACAGGCUGGGGGACUGUUCUUCUUUCUAAGUCUCAGUUUGCCAUUUGCAAAAUGAGAAAAUGACAGAAUGGGAAAAUGAGAAAAGGACAAGGUAAGGGCUGAAGUGUCGAUUAACUGAGAUGAGGCAUGGAAGAUGUGUGGCCUAGGCCAGGUAUAUAGCAAGUGCUCGAGAAAUGCUAACUGAGAUGUUGGGUAUCAGUUUGUAAAUAGUUUUUAAAUGAUUUCUUUAAUUGCUCUCCUUUUUGGGGAGAACAGGCCGAGGUCCAGAGAGGGGCAGUGACUUUCCCAAGGUCACCAGCCAAGUGGAGGAGCUGAGAUUCGAAUGCCACUGUGCCACCUUAGAGGCCUGCUUGGGACUCAAUCUUCAUGGGAAGGAGGACUCUGCUCAGCCCACCUGGGAGAAAUGGCUUCACCUUUUGCCUCUGCACUCCACAGCACUGCCCCUGGUCUGGAGGAAAAACUGCACCCUGGAAGGAUCUCUUGCCACCAUUGGCCCUGGCUUGGGUCACACUGACCCCAAGGGCCAUGGCUGAGCAGCUGAAGAGCAUGGAGCAGCCUGCACACUUGGCCACUGGCUCCCCACUGACGCGGGAGAGAAGUGAAUAACAGUCUCAGCCAUCAUGUGCGUUUGCUAAAAAUAAACCUGACAUACUUUUGUGUUGGGAAACAAUGUGGAUUCCAAACAUUCUCAAAGGGCAGAGAGGGGAAAAAAGGAAGACUGGAAAUCAAGUUUUUGAGCUUAGUAAUUAAUUAGGGCCUGUAAACAAAUGAUUCAUGUUCUUUCUUAGCUAUUUUUCUUUUCAUUUUGUGUAGAUUUUUGCAGGGACUGAAGGAAGGAGGCCAGGAGAGUGAAGUUGAUAGCUGCAGGGGCCUGGAUGGGACAGGACUGUUUUG
rnacentral:lncRNA from 1 species